UACGUAGGGGCCUAGCGUUGUCCGGAAUUAUUGGGCGUAAAGAGCUCGUAGGCGGUUCGGCAAGUCGGAUGUGAAAUCUCCACGCUUAACGUGGAGGGGCCAUUCGAAACUGCCGUGACUCGAGUCCGGUAGGGGAGUGUGGAAUUCCCGGUGUAGCGGUGAAAUGCGCAGAUAUCAGGAGGAACACCAAUAGCGAAGGCAGCUCGCUGGGACGUUUACUGACACUGAGGCGCGAAAGCGUGGGGAGCGAACAGG
rnacentral:rRNA from 1 species